AGCAAUUCGGAAGUCUCACCAUCUGUUCAGGCACCAUUACAACAAUUAAUCUCAAGCAAAAACAGUGCUCUUUUGAAGCCAGGAACAGUUAUAAUACACACGCAUUAAGCAGGCCCCAUUGAGCUCAAAGUUCAACAGGUACGUGCAAUAUUUGAGGAUUAUAUUAGUUGUAUAAAUCUGUUAAGACACAACCGCCCAAUAAUGUCCAUUAAAAUUCCGUUUCUUGAAAUUAUACUCCUACUUUGAAUGAUGAAUUAUAAAUAUUUCCGGUUAUCUUUUUAAGUUAACCUCCUAAUUUGACAUUUCAAGCUGAACACAAUAAUUGAAUAAUGUUAACAAUUAUAGUUGGUGCAAAAGAUGAGAUGGAUCUUAACAAUUAUAGUUGGCCAAAAGAUGAGAUGGAUUUUCUAUGGAAACCCAAUAUUU
rnacentral:misc_RNA from 1 species